rnacentral:ncRNA from 1 species
CAAGACGGUCCGGAAUGAUGUUUUUUUCUCCAAAAACUCAGGUCAGAUACCUUGAAAAUUUGAGGGAUGACCUCAUCUAAUCUCCAGUAGCAAUCUGACCUGAAAGGGGGAAAUGAUGCGUCUGGAUCGUCUUAC